AGGCUUAGUUGAGUAGUUGAGUAGAUCGGAUUUAUCCCUUUUGAGGCUUUGACUCCUUGUUGCAUACUCUUCUUUUGACCUUAUUCAUAUGGCCAAGCAUUAUAGUACUUGGUGAAAAAUGGCCUUCAGUUUGAUAGUACAAGAACUAAUACUGUUGAAGCAUACUUGAGUUUGUGCUUAUAAAUUUUCAAAUUACUACCAGUAGAGGGCAACUUUACUGUAUAUAUUUACUAUUUGAUUGUGAGUUUGCCUCUAUAUAUUGCUUUAUGUGGAGUUGUUUUAUAUGUUUAUUUAACAUGUGUGCAGAUUAUUUUGGUUACUCAUCCCUGGACGGUGAUCUACGUGAAUCCCUAAAGUACAUUCACAACUUGUAUGUUGAAUAUGUUGUCAAAAAACCCCUCUAUACUCCUGGAACUCCUAUC
rnacentral:misc_RNA from 1 species